rnacentral:rRNA from 1 species
UACGAAGGGGGCUAGCGUUGCUCGGAAUCACUGGGCGUAAAGGGCGCGUAGGCGGAUACUUAAGUCAGAGGUGAAAGCCCAAGGCUCAACCUUGGAACUGCCUUUGAUACUGAGUAUCUUGAGACCGGUAGAGGUAAGUGGAACUGCGAGUGUAGAGGUGAAAUUCGUAGAUAUUCGCAAGAACACCAGUGGCGAAGGCGGCUUACUGGACCGGUUCUGACGCUGAGGCGCGAAAGCGUGGGGAGCAAACAGGAUUAGAUACCCUUUAGUCC